rnacentral:rRNA from 1 species
GACGGAGGAUGCAAGCGUUAUCCGGAAUGAUUGGGCGUAAAGCGUCCGCAGGUGGCAGUUCAAGUCUGCUGUCAAAGACCGGGGCUUAACUUCGGAAAGGCAGUGGAAACUGAACAGCUAGAGUAUGGUAGGGGCAGAGGGAAUUCCUGGUGUAGCGGUGAAAUGCGUAGAGAUCAGGAGGAACACCGAUUGCGAAGGCAGCUCGCUGGGACGUAACUGACGCUGAGACGCGAAAGCGUGGGGAGCAAACAGG